GCAGAGAGCUGCGGGAGAGCCGCAGCAAACACCACACGGCAGCUCGGGCCAGCCCCAAGGUCUUUGGUGUUUAUUCAUGAUGAAUGCCUGAUUUAAAAAUGACUACAGAUUUGUCUUAUCCCAAAAAUGAAUUAAUUUGUUGGUUUUGAAAGUAUUCAGCAUUGUCUUUAGUAUCUACAGAAGCAGACUUUGUAUCUUGACAUCAUAAGGAACAGCACUGAGCCAGCACCGACUACUUGUAAAGCCUAGGAAAUAAUCCAGGAAGAUCUGGGAAUAAAAGGAAUACAGAAGCUGAACAAUAUUUUUAGAAGAGGAUAUGAGAGAAUAAUUUAAAAGCCUAUGGUGCUGAGAAAAGUUAAAUCAGUAUGUUGGCAUUCCUAUAGGCUCUGGACCUCAUUAAAAUUUUCUGACAGUGUACUUUUAAAUCUUGGAUCUGUCCCAACCAUCUUUAGGUUUCUGGCAAAGUUUCAGAUUGAUCCUCUGAUUUGAUUUGUUGCUGAAAGUCCACUCUGGGAUUGAGCGGAGCGGAGACAAAGCUAUGCACUGUGUGGCUCUGUAGCCAGGGCAGACUCCUCCAGCAGCAUAGAAAUAGCUUUCAGUUCUUCCUGGUUCUUGCUUAAAUGUGUUUAUUGAGACUUAUGAUCAUCCAUCAUCUAUCCAUCAAGAAGUCUCUGAUACGACUGGCUACACACCCUCAUCUGACCUUGUUCUGGGUACCUGUUUGCGUGACUGUCUGCAGUUAUUAAAGGACAGUGGGACAAGCUCUCCACAUGAACGUGAAAAGUCCUACAACUAUACGUGGGGCCACAUUCAACUGUGCAUCACACGGCAACACUACCAGCCCGUCCCCCUAUGUGAACUGCUCAUCAAUUGGAAUUCAAAGAGUAGUAUGUACCUGUGGUUGAGAUUUGAAUAAACAAGGGAUGGUGUUACGGAGGAUACACAGAGAAAGAGUCAAAUCAUAUGAGAUGCAGGUGGAAGAAAAUGAACAAACAUGCAGUAUACUUUGAAAUGGAAAUACGUCUGUAGCUAUUUUAUUCAUGGGUACUCAUGUUCUAUCUGUUAAUCUGCUUCCAACAUGGUAUGAUAUUUAAUGAUGUUCAAAAUACUAAAUGGCUGAUAGCACCGAACAGAACAUCACAGCAUCAGAACAGGUAAGGUUGGAAGGGAUCUCUUUAGGUCAUUGGGUACAACCUUCUCUGCUCAUUGUAGGGUAUGGGAAUUCUGAUUUUGGUUAUACCGUGCUGUGAGUUAAACUGUGCAUCACAAGCUGCAUUGUAAACUUUGCAUGUUUUGAACAAAUAUUCU
rnacentral:lncRNA from 7 species